rnacentral:rRNA from 1 species
GCACAUGUGUAGCCAACUGCAUGCUAAUGAUAUUGUGGGCAACUGUAAGCAUGUAUUGCAAUGGACUUGCACUUGCCCUGGGCAGCAUGAUUUGUUUUUCAAGCAUGUGUGCUGUAGUGUGUGAUGUGUUUUGUAAACUGUUUGCAUUUCUCUAGUUGCUGCAACAAUUAUGUUUUGCAAGGAAUGUCUUAGCUCAAUAAAUGAUGAAGAAUGCAGCAACAUGCAAUAUGCAUUGCGAAUUGCAGAAUUCCGUGAGCUAACAGAUGUUUGAAUGUUACUUGUACCUUUGGGAUAUUCUUGAAGGUUUGCUUGGUUUAAUGCAAAGUAGCUUUCAUAUACAGUUAAUGCUGAUUAGCAUUGUUGUGAACAAUAAAGGUCAAUGUGUUGCAUUGAACCUGGAUGUCAUACAGUUGUUUACAACCUAAACAUGGUUUCGUGGGGCAGACCUGUUUCGUCAUUUGAUGGUUGAUAUUUGUAAAUGUGCACAACUGGGACAAGCUGAAGACUUGCAUAUGCUAAGCGUGAAGUGAAGCACAUAAACCUGCUGAAUUUAAGCAUAUAAGUAAGUGGUGGAAAUUAAACCAACUGGGAUCUCUUCAGUAAUUGCGCAUGAACCAGGAUAUGCUUAGCUUGACAAAUGGAGCUGCUGGCUCUGAAUUGUAUUGUGGGAAUGUAUUACCAACAGAGGUGCAGGUGUCAGCCAUUUGAAAGAAAGCAUCAAUGAGGGUGAGAGUCCUGUUUGUCAUGUGCAGCCUUCUGUGCACGGUGUAUAUUUGCUGAGUCACACUCCUUGGCAUUGGAAUGCAAAGUGGGUGGUAAGUUUCAUGCAAAGGUAAAUAUGCAAUUGAGACUGAUAGCGCACAAGUACCAUGAGGGACAUAUGAAAAGGACUUUGAAAAGAGAAUUAAAUGAGUUUGUAUUUGCUAAACACAAAGUAAACAGACUUGAUUUCCUCAGUGAGAUUGUAGUGCUUGCUUAACAAUGGGUUUUGGCUGCAAGUGCAAUAAUUCUUGCUUUGUGUGCCAGUUUUUAUGUGGACAUUUGAUUACCUUUGCACAUGAAUGGUAAUUUUCCUGCGGGGUGUGGAUUGCAUAUGCAUGUAAUGAUUUGCAUGUUUGUUAAAUGUGUCUGGUGUAUUUGUUUGUGUCCUUGUCCUUGAGGUUGCUUUCUCCCUUGGGCUUACAUGCCCUGGCACACACAUUCUGGCAAAAUGCUUCUGCUUGACCCGUCUUGAAACACGGACCAAGGAGUCUAACAGAUGUGCAAGUUUGAAGGUGGUAUACCUGUGUGUGUAAUGAAAGUAUUGGCUGGGAUAUUUGCACCAGCAGCCGACUAAUUAGCAGACAGAGGUUUGAGUUGGAGCAUAUCUAUUAGGACC